rnacentral:ncRNA from 1 species
GGCUUGGUCCUGACUUUACUAUAAGCUUUAACCCAACUUAUACAUGCAAGUCUCCGCACCCCUGUGAGAAUGCCCUCAAUCCCCCAACCGGGGACGAGGAGCUGGUAUCAGGCACACACUAAGCCCAAGACACCUUGCUUAGCCACACCCCCAAGGGAAUUCAGCAGUAAUAAACAUUAAGCCAUAAGUGAAAACUUGACUUAGUUAGGGUUAAGAGGGCCGGUAAAAUCCGUGCCAGCCACCGCGGUUAUACGAAAGACCCCAGUUUAUAGACACGGCGUAAAGGGUGGUUAAGGAAAAAUCAAAAUAAAGCUAAAGAUCCCCUAAGCAGUCAUACGCUCCACGGAGACACGAAAUCCAAAUACGAAAGUUGCCUUAAAUAAAUUACCUGACCCCACGAAAGCUGAAAAACAAACUGGGAUUAGAUACCCCACUAUGCUCAGCCUUAAACCCAGAUGAAAAUUUUACAAAAAUCAUCCGCCAGGGGACUACAAGCACAGCUUAAAACCCAAAGGACUUGGCGGUGCCUCAGAUCCACCUAGAGGAGCCUGUUCUAGAACCGAUAAUCCCCGUUAAACCUCACCACCCCUUGCCUUUCCCGCCUAUAUACCGCCGUCGUCAGCUUACCCUAUGAAGGCCCAAUAGUAAGCAAAAUGGAUUCAACCCAAAACGUCAGGUCGAGGUGUAGCGCACGAGGUGGGAAGAAAUGGGCUACAUUUUCUGUCACAGAAUACUACGAAUCAUGCCUUGAAAGCGGCAUCUGAAGGAGGAUUUAGCAGUAAAAAGUAAAUAGAGUGUACUUUUGAAUUAGGCUCUGAGGUGCGCACACACCGCCCGUCACUCUCCCCAUCACCACCAACCUAACUAUUUCUAAUAAUUAUGAAACAAUACGGGGAGGCAAGUCGUAACAUGGUAAGUGUACCGGAAGGUGCACUUGGAAUAUC